rnacentral:rRNA from 1 species
UGCAAGUCGAGCGGAACGAUCCUAGCUUGCUAGGAGGCGUCGAGCGGCGGACGGGUGAGUAAUGCAUAGGAAUCUACCCAGUCGUGGGGGAUAACCUGAGGAAACUCAGGCUAAUACCGCAUACGUCCUACGGGAGAAAGCGGGGGCUCUUCGGACCUCGCGCGAUUGGAUGAGCCUAUGUCGGAUUAGCUAGUUGGUCAGGUAACGGCUUACCAAGGCGACGAUCCGUAGCUGGUCUGAGAGGAUGAUCAGCCACACCGGGACUGAGACACGGCCCGGACUCCUACGGGAGGCAGCAGUGGGGAAUAUUGGACAAUGGGCGAAAGCCUGAUCCAGCCAUGCCGCGUGUGUGAAGAAGGCUUUCGGGUUGUAAAGCACUUUCAGCGAGGAAGAAAGCGUGCCGGCCAAUACCCGGUACGGACGACAUCACUCGCAGAAGAAGCACCGGCUAACUCCGUGCCAGCAGCCGCGGUAAUACGGAGGGUGCAAGCGUUAAUCGGAAUUACUGGGCGUAAAGCGCGCGUAGGCGGCGUGUCACGCCGGGUGUGAAAGCCCCGGGCUCAACCUGGGAACGGCAUCCGGAACGGGCAGGCUAGAGUGCAGGAGAGGAAGGUAGAAUUCCCGGUGUAGCGGUGAAAUGCGUAGAGAUCGGGAGGAAUACCAGUGGCGAAGGCGGCCUUCUGGACUGACACUGACGCUGAGGUGCGAAAGCGUGGGUAGCAAACAGGAUUAGAUACCCUGGUAGUCCACGCCGUAAACGAUGUCGACUAGCCGUUGGGUCCCUUGAGGACUUAGUGGCGCAGUUAACGCGAUAAGUCGACCGCCUGGGGAGUACGGCCGCAAGGUUAAAACUCAAAUGAAUUGACGGGGGCCCGCACAAGCGGUGGAGCAUGUGGUUUAAUUCGAUGCAACGCGAAGAACCUUACC